rnacentral:rRNA from 1 species
GAUGAACGCUGGCGGCGUGCCUAAUACAUGCAAGUCGAGCGAACAGACGAGGAGCUUGCUCCUCUGACGUUAGCGGCGGACGGGUGAGUAACAUGUGGAUAACCUACCUAUAAGACUGGGAUAACUUCGGGAAACCGGAGCUAAUACCGGAUAAUAUAUUGAACCGCAUGGUUCAAUAGUGAAAGACGGUUUUGCUGUCACUUAUAGAUGGAUCCGCGCCGCAUUAGCUAGUUGGUAAGGUAACGGCUUACCAAGGCAACGAUGCGUAGCCGACCUGAGAGGGUGAUCGGCCACACUGGAACUGAAACACGGACCAGGCUCCUACGGGAGGCAGCAGUAGGGAAUCUUCCGCAAUGGGCGAAAACCUGGCGGAGCAGCGCCGCGUGAGUGAUGAAGGUCUUCGGAUCGUAAAACUCUGUUAUUAGGGAAAAACAAAUGUGUAAGUAACUAUGCACGUCUUGACGGUACCUAAUCAGAAAGCCACGGCUAACUACGUG